rnacentral:lncRNA from 1 species
CCGUCCAGCUGCCUACGGAGAUAAGAUCAUUGAUAAAGCCGCCGGAUAAACCUAAAACCUAUCUAUUACAAAAUCAGCGUUUUCUUGGACCCAGUAGUAGUAAAAUUAUCUAGUGUGGAUCUGUGAAGAUAAGCCAGAUGAACAUCGCUUUUGAACAGCCGCCCAGUAGAGGUAUGGUUGCGACCCUCUACAAAAUAUAAAUAAAAAUACUGGAUCAGAAGAGGCAAUGCAAGAAAAUGGAGAGUCUGCUGUGUAGGACGGGGGAGAGAGGCGAAGUGCUUCCCGCCAACGUAGCUUUCCUGCCCUCCAGCUCUCCUCUGACCUCAUGUUUUUUCCAUCAAAACAAAUGAAUUGCUGUUCGCAGUUCACUUCUUAAAUCCCUUAUAGGAAGCUUCCUGCACCGUUCAAUAACCCCCAAGUGGAAGUGGUCUUUGGGGCCGCUUCGGUUUCACGGGGCAGCUUGGACGUUUUGCAUGGUCUGGGACAGGAUGUUGGUCUUCAGGCCCACCCUUGCUGUGUCGUUGUGCUCCCCAGGUCACAGACCCGCACAAAAGAAAUUAAAACUGGGAACUAGCUGGACCCAUGAGAUACCUAUUACUCAAAUGAAAAGCACAUACCUCCUCAAGACCUUACCAAAUGGGUGAUUUCUCCUUCAGGUUCAUCAUACAAUAACCGUUUAAGUUAUUUUUAACACUUUCCAGUUCUUACAUGCUUUACACACCCAGCCUGAAACACUUCUGUGGCACUUCUUUCUGGGCUGCCAACAUGACAUCAUCAUCUAUAUAUGUAACCUUAUAGCAGGCUAUCUGUCUGCUUCUUCCAUCUUCAUUGGAACUGCUUUGCCAGCAAGGGUUGGAAAAAUGCACUCCGAAAACUGGAAAACAUCGGCAGGAAGGCUCCACGCCCCACGCCUUGUGGGGAACACAGCCAAAGAAACUAGGAGGAUCAGCUUAUCGUUUCUUGUGGAAUGCAGAGAAGCUGUGAGAAGGGAGAUGACGGACAAGCCGGGAUGUCUUCAUCUUCAAGGAUACUGGGGUCUCCCGUGGCAUCAUCCGGAGGAAGAUCAAGAUGCGAAGAGGACUUCCCAAUAUAGAGCUGGCUUGGUCAGGAGACAUGUCACUUUGGGCAGCUGAAAAGCUAUUCACUACAAGAAAAAAAAAUCCAGUCCCUCCCUUGCCAUGAGAGUGGGAGAAAUCUGAAAACCACAUUUUCUGCUUCCUCCAGUUGGGCUGUUUGAAACAGCAGAAAAGCAAAAUAUUUCAGUGAGAUAAGAGACAGGGUCAACUGAACUUUGACUGCUGACUCAAAUGCUCCACUGUGUUUUGAAGAAAUCAGGCCCUUAUUCUGUGAUGCUUGCCUAAGCUGAUUAGGAGGAUACUUUUUUUUAAGUGUUUGGAACACUUCAGAUAUUGUCGGGUAAGUGUGUGUUGUCAGUGCUGUGAGGGUCCCUUCUAAGUAACUAUGCACCAAAUUGCACUGUGCUUGGAAGUCACUUUAUUGGGCUUCAGGGGGAGUUCUGGGGUGCUGUGGUCCCAAAAAGUAGCUUUCCCAAGCUCUGGGAUUGCGUUCAUAAGAGAUACGUCUGUUUUUAAUGUUUCCAACACAUUCAGGGGAGAGGGGCAAGGAAUUUAAAAGAGUAGUGAAUAUACUUCCACCUUCAAAAUUGGCGGGGGUGGGGGGAGAUAAUAUGGAGAAGUCCUAAAAACAUGAGACGUCUGUCCUUCCUACUUGCUGUUUCUGUGCUCAUGCAUCCCGGAAAUAUUCACCAAUAGAUGUCAGUUAGACCCAUAUGGGGAGAAUUCUAAUGCAAACAAUGCAUAAUAAACUCAAGAUUGUAAAUGGCA